rnacentral:ncRNA from 1 species
CAAAGGUUUGGUCCUGACUUUACUGUCAACUUUAGCUAAAUUUACACAUGCAAGUAUCCGCAUCCCCGUGAGAAUGCCCUAAUAGUUUCCUACCCGGAGACAAGGAGCUGGUAUCAGGCACGGCUCUGCCUAGCCCAUAACACCUUGCUAAGCCACACCCCCAAGGGAAUUCAGCAGUGAUAUACAUUAAGCCAUAAGUGAAAACUUGACUUAGUUAAAGCUAAGAGGGCCGGUAAAACUCGUGCCAGCCACCGCGGUUAUACGAGCGACCCAAGUUGAUAGACAACGGCGUAAAGGGUGGUUAAGAUACUAAUAAACUAAAGCCGAACGCCCUCAGGACUGUUAUACGUUUCUGAAGGUAAGAAGUUCUACUACGAAAGUGGCUUUAAUACUACUGACCCCACGAAAGCUGCGGAACAAACUGGGAUUAGAUACCCCACUAUGCCCAGCCCUAAACUUUGAUGGCCCCUUACAUAACCAUCCGCCUGGGGACUACGAGCACCAGCUUGAAACCCAAAGGACUUGGCGGUGCUUAAGAUCCACCUAGAGGAGCCUGUUCUAGAACCGAUAACCCCCGUUAAACCUCACCCUCCCUUGUUCUUACCGCUUAUAUACCGCCGUCGUCAGCUUACCCUGUGAAGGCCUUAUCGUAAGCAAUAUUAGUAAAACCCAAAACGCCAGGUCGAGGUGUAGCAUAUGGAAGGGGAAGAAAUGGGCUACAUUCCCUAGCACAGGGAAUACGAACAAUGUAUUGAAAUAUACAUUAGAAGGAGGAUUUAGCAGUAAGCAGAAAAUAGAGAGUUCCGCUGAAACUGGCCCUAAAGCGCGCACACACCGCCCGUCACUCUCCCCAAGCCACUAAACCUUUAUAAGUAAUUAAUUAAAAAGGCGAAGGGGAGGCAAGUCGUAACAUGGUAAGUGUACCGGAAGGUGUACUUGGAAAAAU